CCUGUCUUUACUGAAAAUACAAAAAUUAGCCAGGCAUGGUGGCAAACACCUGUAAAAGAACAAAUCAGCUUUUUUACCCUAACAUCUAUAUGUGAUCCAUUGUUAAUAUUUUAAUGUUUCCUUUCAUACACACAAUACAUACACACAUAUAUAUGUAUAUUACAUAUGUAGUGCUGAGCUCACUACAGUUGUACACAGCAGCCAAGGAGCAUUUUUCAAGGUUAAACAAUUCAACUACUUAGGACGUUUGUCUAGGGAGAUGUUGAUGUGUGGAUGAGUUUAAUCUUAUUAAUGCUCCACAUGGGUAUUCUAAGGCUGAGUCAAGGCAUUUUUCUAACAUAACAUGACAGCAUUAAAUGAUCCAUUUCUAGUGUGUUUUUAUUCCACACCACACAUUUGUAGACCUAGGACUACAAACAUUAUCUAUGUCAUUAUAAUCACAUUUUUUGGUCCUUUCUAACUCAUCUAUAACGGAAUACUACAGACUGGGUCAUUUAUAAAAAACAAACGUUUAUGUGGCUCACAGUUCUGGAGGCUGGGAAGUCCAAGGGCAUGGCACUGGCAUCCAGCAAGGGUCAUCCCAUGGCAGAAGUAUGGAAGGCAGAAGUAAGUCCAUGAGUCAGAGAGAAACAUUGAUCUGAACUAAUCCUUUUUAUCAAGAACACACUCCUUCAAUAACUAACCUAUUCCUGUGAUAACAGCAGUAAUCUCUUCAAGAGGGUAGAGCCCUCAUGGCCUAAUCACCUCUUAAAUGCCCCACCUCUUAAUACUGUUACAAUGACAAUUAAAUUUCAGCAUG
rnacentral:lncRNA from 10 species